CCUGAAUGAGGAGCAUUCUUCGUUCCUUUUCCGAGGAGUUGAUGUAACUGCCGUGUACGAGGAGGUAGGAGAAUAUCAGCACGUCUCCCUUCCUGGCCAGCACCGGGGUCGCCUUGCUCAGGGGAAAUCUUUCCUGCGGAGAUUCACAAUAAAGAAGUCGCGUGAGCAAGCAAACAACGGUGUGGCGCAACAGCCCGGGGUCAAGACGACCCGUUACAGACGCAGUUGUGCCGACGACGGACGCCGGUAUCAACAAUUGGCCCUUGACAUCCCGCCGAGGAUAGCUACGAUACCACACUUAUGUAAGCAGUGACGCGAACUGCCGCGGGAUCAACACCAGCCGCACUUUACAAUGUUCGAGAAGAGUUUCAAAGGCUCAAAUGUACAUAACUUUACUCAUUCAUAAAUUCCGAGUUUUUAAGUUUUUGGAAAAAAAAUUUGUAUUUAUUAAUGAGGGAUAUGCUAGAAAUAAUGACUUUUUACGACAAAA